UUCAGUGCGCAUGUGCUUCAUUACCCAGUCCAAAGGGCAGGUCAGUGUAAAAUGUAGCUGACUGAAGGAAGACUGGUAAAUUCUGAAUUUUUCCAUAAUACAUCAGGUAAGGAAAAUUGUUCAGACCCUCAGGAAUAUAUUCACUUCCUUUUUAUCUGUCUUCACGAAUCUUCAUAAAGCUGUUUAUUUUUUUAAAGAUGUGGUAGAAUUAAAUUCCUCUUUGUAGAUCUUGAAAAAUCACUUAAAUACUAUGUAUUUAUUUUCUUUUAAAAUGUAAAUAGUACUAGAAGUGAACUUGCAGCUUGUUUCUUAUAUAAAACGGUGCGGAGGAAGUCAGUAUUUCCUUUAGUAUAAGCUAUUUGGAGGAAAUUCUGGAUAUAAAUGUAUUUCAUGUUACAAUAUAGGAAAAUGUCAGCUUAAUCUGGUAAAUACUUAUGCUAAUUUUACUGAGUGAAUUCGUUAUAAGGAGGAGAGGUACCAAGCUUGUAUGAUUGAAUAAUGCUUAGACGAUAAUCCAGCAUCUAUAUGGAUUAUUUUACGUACAAAAUGAGAAAAAAAAAAGGAAACAAGAAAUUCAGAAUCUAAAUCUUUCAUUUAGCUGGCAAGAGGGCAGAAAAUUUUAGACCAACCUGUUUUUAAGACAUUUACAUUAGGAGGGAAAGUGGAAUGUAGGCUAAAUAUUGCAUUGCUGUGUACAUUUCUCUAGCUCUCACUCAAAUGGAU
rnacentral:lncRNA from 1 species